rnacentral:rRNA from 1 species
AUUGAACGCUGGCGGCAUGCCUUACACAUGCAAGUCGAACGGUAACAGGUCUUCGGAUGCUGACGAGUGGCGAACGGGUGAGUAAUACAUCGGAACGUGCCCGAUCGUGGGGGAUAACGAAGCGAAAGCUUUGCUAAUACCGCAUACGAUCUACGGAUGAAAGCAGGGGACCGCAAGGCCUUGCGCGAACGGAGCGGCCGAUGGCAGAUUAGGUAGUUGGUGGGAUAAAAGCUUACCAAGCCGACGAUCUGUAGCUGGUCUGAGAGGACGACCAGCCACACUGGGACUGAGACACGGCCCAGACUCCUACGGGAGGCAGCAGUGGGGAAUUUUGGACAAUGGGCGAAAGCCUGAUCCAGCCAUGCCGCGUGCAGGAUGAAGGCCUUCGGGUUGUAAACUGCUUUGUACGGAACGAAAGACUCUGGUUAAUACCUGGGUCCAGUGACGGUACCGUAAGAAUAAGCACCGGCUAACUACGUGCCAGCAGCCGCGGUAAAGAGU